CCCUUAGAUGUUCUGGGCUGCACGCGCGCUACACUGACACGUUCAACGAGUUGUUGCCUGGGCCGAGAGGUCUGGGAAAUCUUUUGAAAUCGUGUCGUGAUAGGGAUAGAUUAUUGCAAUUAUUAAUCUUCAACGAGGAAUUCCUAGUAAACGCAAGUCAUCAGCUUGCAUUGAUUACGUCCCUGCCCUUUGUACACACCGCCCGUCGCUCCUACCGAUUGAAUGGUCCGGUGAAGCGUUCGGACCGUGGCCUUUGGACGGUUCGCCGUCUGUUGGCUGCGGGAAGUUCGUUAAACCUUAUCAUUUAGAGGAAGGAGAAGUCGUAACA
rnacentral:rRNA from 1 species